UAAAGCUAGAUUCACCAAAGAAA
rnacentral:miRNA from 1 species